rnacentral:rRNA from 1 species
CGCGGCCUAUCAGCUUGUUGGUGAGGUAACGGCUCACCAAGGCGACGAUGGGUAGCUGGUCUGAGAGGAUGAUCAGCCACAUUGGAACUGAGACACUGCCCAAACUCCUACGGGAGGCUGCAGUCGAGAAUAUUUCGCAAUGGGGGAAACCCUGACGAUGCGACGCCGCGUGGGGGAUGAAGGCCUUCGGGUUGUAAACCUCUGUGUUACGGGAUGAAUUGAGCGUUGCUGAUAACGCAGCGUUUUUGACGUUACCGUAGUAGAAAGCCCCAGCUAACUACGUGCCAGCAGCUGCGGUAAUACGUAGGGGGCAAGCGUUGUCCGGAAUCACUGGACGUAAAGCGCGCGCAGGCGGUGGAGUAAGUCAGACGUGAAAGGGUUCGGCUCAACCGAGCCAUUGCGUUUGAAACUGCCUCACUUGAGUCUAGAAGAGGAAAGUGGAAUGUAUGGUGUAGCGGUGGAAUGCUUAGAUAUCAUAUAGAACACCCGUGGCGAAGGCGGCUUUCUGGUCUAAGACUGACGCUCAUGCGCGAAAGUUUGGGGAGCAACCGGGAUUAGAUACCCCGCUAGUCCUUACUGUAAACGAUGGGUACUAAGUGUAGGGGGUGUUGAUUCCCUCUGUGCUGUAGCUAACGCAUUAAGUACCCCGCCUGGGGAGUACGG